ensembl:lncRNA
AUGGAGGCGGCGGCUUCGGCCUCUGGGCUGGAGGCAGCAUCGUCGACCUCUGGGCUGGAGGCGGCAUUGUUGGCCUCUGGGCUGGAGGCGGCGUCCUCGGCCUCUGGGCUGGAGACAGAGUUGACCACGGGACUGAAGAAGACGUCGACCACGGGACUGGAGAUGGCGUCGACCACGGGACUGGAGACGGCGUCGACCACGGGACUGGAGGCGGUGGCGACGACCAUUGGACUGGAGGCAGCGUCGUCGAACUCUGGGCUGGAGGCGGCGUCGGCGGCCUCUGGGCUGGAGGCGACGUCUUCGGCUUCUAGGCUGGAGGCAGCAUCCUUGGCCUCUGGGCUGGAGGCGGCGGCGUCGACCACGGGACUGGAGAAGGCGUCGACCACGGGACUGGAGACCGCGUUGACCACUGGACUGGAGAUGCCGUUGACCACUGGACUGGAGACGGCGGAGACGUUGGACUGGAGGGAACGUCGACCUCUGGACUGGAGGGAACGUCGACCUCUGGACUGGAGGGAGCGUAGACCUCUGGACUGGAGGGAACGUCAACCUCUGGACUGGAGGGGACGUCGACCUCUGGACACGAGGGAGCAUCUACCUCUGGACACGAGGAAGCGUCGACCUCUGGACACGAAGGAGCGUCGACCUCUGGACACAAAGGAGCGUCGACCUCUGGACACAAAGGAGCGUCGACCUCUGGAUACAAAGGAGCGUCGACCUCUGGACUGGAAAGAGCGUCGACCUCUGGACUGGAAAGAGCAUUGGCCUCUGGACUGGAAAGAGCGUCGACCUCUGGACACGAGGGAGUGUCGACCUCUGGACACAAGGGAGUGUCGAACUCUGGAUACAAAGGAGCGUCGACCUCUGGACUGGAAAGAGAGUCGACCCCUGGACACAAAGGAGCGUCGACCUCUGGACACAAAGGAGCGUCGACCUCUGGAUACAAAGGAGCGUCGACCUCUGGACUGGAAAGAGCAUCGGCCUCUGGACUGGAAAGAGCGUCGACCUCUGGACACGAGGGAGUGUCGACCUCUGGACACGAGGGAGUGUCGAACUCUGGAUACAAAGGAGCGUCGACCUCUGGACUGGAAAGAGAGUCGACCCCUGGACACGAGGGAGCGUCGACCUCUGGACACAAGGGAGUGUCGAACUCUGGAUAUGAAGGAGCGUCGACCUCUGGACUGGAAAGAGCGUCGACCUCUGGACUGGAAAGAGCGUCAACUUCUGCACUGGAGAGAGCGUCGACCUCCGGACUGGAGAGAGCGUCGACCUCCGGACUGGAAAGAGCGUCGACCUCCGGACUGGAAAGAGCGUCGACCUCUGGACUGGAAAGAGCGUCGACUUCUGCACUGGAGAGAGCGUCGAUCUCCGGACUGGAGAGAGCGUCGACCUCUGGACUGGAGAGAGCGUCGUCCUCCAUCGAAUUCUGGUCCGGAGGCAUCGACUUCUGGUCCGGGGGCGUCGAUUUCUGGUCCGGAGGCGUCGACUUCUGGUCCAGGUGCAUCGACUUCUGGACCGUCGACUUCUGGAUCGUCUGCUUCUGGACCAUCGACUUCUGGUCCGGGGCUGUCGCUUCUGGACUGUCGGCUUCUGGACCAUCGACUUCUGGACCAUCGACUUCUGGACUGUCGAUUUCUGGACCAUCAACUUCUGGUCCGGGGGCAUUGA